rnacentral:rRNA from 1 species
GCAGCCGCCGCGGUAAUACGGAGGGUGCAAGCGUUAAUCGGAAUUACUGGGCGUAAAGCGCACGCAGGCGGUCUGACAAGUCAGAUGUGAAAUCCCCGGGCUUAACCUGGGAACUGCAUUUGAAACUGUCAGGCUGGAGUCUUGUAGAGGGGGGUAGAAUUCCAGGUGUAGCGGUGAAAUGCGUAGAGAUCUGGAGGAAUACCGGUGGCGAAGGCGGCCCCCUGGACAAAGACUGACGCUCAGGUGCGAAAGCGUGGGGAGCAAACAGGAUUAGAUACCCCGGUAGUCCCUGUCUCUUAUAC